rnacentral:rRNA from 1 species
GACGAACGCUGGCGGCGUGCCUAAUACAUGCAAGUCGAACGAACUCUGGUAAUGAUUGGUGCUUGCAUCAUGAAUUACAUUUGAGUGAGUGGCGAACUGGUGAGUAACACGUGGGAAACCUGCCCAGAAGCGGGGGAUAACACCUGGAAACAGAUGCUAAUACCGCAUAACAACUUGGACCGCAUGGUCCGAGUUGGAAAGAUGGCUUCGGCUAUCACUUUUGGUUGGUCCCGCGGCGUAUUAGCUAGAUGGUGAGGUAACGGCUCGCCAUGGCAAUGAUACGUAGCCGACCUGGGAGGGUAAUCGGCCACAUUGGGACUGAGACACGGCCCAAACUCCUACGGGGGGCAGCAGUAGGGAAUCUUCCACAAUGGACGAAAGUCUGAUGGAGCAACGCCGCGUGAGUGAAGAAGGGUUUCGGCUCGUAAAACUCUGUUGUUAAAGAAGAACAUAUCUGAGAGUAACUGUUCAGGUAUUGACGGUAUUUAACCAGAAAGCCACGGCUAACUACGUGCCAGCCGCCGCGGUAA